GUUGAAGCGCGGGUAAGACCGCGUGGAGGACCGAACCCACCUGGGUUGAAAACCGGGGGGAUGACCUGGGGCUAGGGGUGAAAGGCCAAUCAAAUUCCGUGAUAGCUGGUUCUCUCCGAAAUGCAUUUAGGUGCAGCGUCGGUUGAUUGCAUCGCGGGGGUAGAGCUACUGGAUGCUUGCGGGCCCGUGUCGGGUACCAAUAGCAGCCAAACUCCGAAUACCGUGGAUGUGUAUUCCGGCAGUGAGUCGGCGGGGGAUAAGCUCCGUCGUCGAGAGGGAGACAGCCCAGAUCGUCGUCUAAGGUCCCGAAGCGUGUGCUAAGUGGGAAAGGAUGUGGAGUCGCAUAGACAGCCAGGAGGUUGGCUCAGAAGCAGCCAUCCUUGAAAGAGUGCGUAACAGCUCACUGGUCUAGUGGUUCCGCGCCGACAAUGUAGCGGGGCUCAAGCACACCACCGAAGACGCGGCAACAGUUUUUGCUGUUGGGUAGGAGAGCGUCCCGCGUGGGGCGAAGCGGCCGGGGAACCGUGCCGUGGACCGCGCGGGAGUGAGAAUGCAGACAUGAGUAGCGAGAGACGGGUGAGGAUCCCGUCCGCUGGAUGACCAAGGGUUCCGGGGCCACGUUCGUCGUCCCCGGGUGAGUCGGGUCCUAAGGCGAGGCCGACAGGCGUAGUCGAAUGGAUGAACGGGUGGAUAUUCCCGUACCGGCGGCGUACCGUAAGAGCCGAACGGAUGAGUACUAACCUCCGGUCGCGUGGCGUCGUUCCCUUCGGGGUUCGGGGUCCGCGGUCGUUGGGAGCGUAGUCCUGGUAGGCUAGCGCACAGGGGUGACACGGAAUGGGAGCCGGCCGCGGAGGUGGUUUUCCGUGGUCAAGCACGCAGCCCGUCCCAUAGGCAAAUCCGUGGGACGCAUAGGGUGAGGUGUGAUGAUGGGCGUCCUUUGGACGCGAUAUCCGGUGGUCCAGGCCGUCGAGAAAAGCCUCGGCGCGAGGGGCGUCGCCGCCCGUACCCCAAACCGACACUGGUGGUCAGGUAGAGAAUACCAAGGCGAUCGAGCGAAUCCUGGUCAAGGAACUCGGCAAAUCACUCCCGUGCCUUCGGUAUAAGGGAGACCCCCGGGCGUGAAGAGGCUUGCCCUCGGAGCGUUGGGGGGUGGCACAGACCAGGGGGUAGCGACUGUUUACCAAAAACACAGGUGCAUGCGAAGGCGCAAGCCGCUGUAUAUGCACUGACGCCUGCCCGGUGCCGGAAGGUUAAGAGGAUCCGUCAGCCCCUUUUGGGGUGAAGCGGUGAAUUCAAGCCCCGGUAAACGGCGGUGGUAACUAUAACCAUCCUAAGGUAGCGAAAUUCCUUGUCGGGUAAGUUCCGACCUGCACGAAUGGCGUAACGACUUCCCCACUGUCUCGACCAGGAGCUCGGCGAAAUUGCAGUACGAGUAAAGAUGCUCGUUAAGCGCAGAAGGACGAAAAGACCCCGGGACCUUUACUAUACCUUGGUAUUGGCGUUAGGCGCGGAUUGUGUAGCAUAGGCGGGAGGCUUCGAAGCAUGGGCGCCAGCCCGUGUGGAGCCGCAAGGUGAAAUACCGCUCUGUUCUCGUUUGACGUCUAACCUCGAACAGUCAUCCUGUUCAGGGACAGUGCCUGGCGGGUAGUUUAACUGGGGCGGUUGCCUCCCAAAGAGUAACGGAGGCGCUCAAAGGUCCGCUCAGCCCGGUUGGCAAUCGGGUUUCGAGUGUAAUCGCACAAGCGGGCUUGACUGCGAGAACGACGGUUCGGGCAGGGACGAAAGUCGGAGAUAGUGAUCCGGUGCCGGCGCACGGGCGCGGCAUCGCUCAACGGAUAAAAGGUACCCCGGGGAUAACAGGCUGAUCAUUCCCAAGAGUCCAUAUCGACGGGAUGGUUUGGCACCUCGAUGUCGGCUCGUCGCAUCCUGGGGCUGGAGCAGGUCCCAAGGGUUCGGCUGUUCGCCGAUUAAAGCGGCACGCGAGCUGGGUUCAGAACGUCGUGAGACAGUUUGGUCUCUAUCCUCUGCGCUCGUUGGAAUCCUGAGGAGGCCUGCCCAUAGUACGAGAGGACCUGGGUGGACGGACCUCUGGUAUGCCGGUUGUCGCGCCAGCGGCAUGGCCGGUUGGCUACGUUCGGGAGGGAUAACCGCUGAAAGCAUCUAAGCGGGAAGCCUGCUCCAAGAUUAGGAUUCCUUGGCACUUCGGUGCCUGUAGCCCGCAUGUUGAACACGUGUUCGAUAGGCCGGAGGUGGAAGCCCCGCGAGGGGUGGAGCCGACCGGUACUAACGGGCGAACGCGGCACAC
rnacentral:rRNA from 1 species